CAGUGUUAGUUGUUUUGAAAAUCUCUCUUAGGUCUUGGGACAACAAUGCUGGUAAGCAUAGCAAAGGUAUCAACGCCCAGAGCUAUGCUUAACUUUUAUACUUAUAACAUCUUUACCAGAUGGGCAAGUUUAAAGCACCAAGGAGGAGUUCCCGUCGUGGCGCAGUG
rnacentral:lncRNA from 1 species